rnacentral:miRNA from 12 species
GGGUGGCUGUGUUUGCUUUGAAGCUCUGCUGUCUGUGGGUUUGUUCUGCUGCAGGUCCCCUCGUGCAGCUGGGCUCUGCGUGCUGCUCAGGUGAGC